rnacentral:rRNA from 1 species
UACGGAGGGUGCAAGCGUUAUCCGGAAUCACUGGGUUUAAAGGGUGCGUAGGCUGUCAGAUAAGUCAGUUGUGAAAUUCCUCGGCCCAACCGGGUGGACUGCGAUUGAUACUGUUUGACUUGAAUGAGGUUGAGGUAGGCGGAAUGUGGCAUGUAGCGGUGAAAUGCUUAGAUAUGCCAUAGAACACCGAUUGCGAAGGCAGCUUGCUGGGCCUUCAUUGACGCUGGGGCACGAAAGCGUGGGGAGCAAACAGG